CUGAUGACGACCGGCGCACGGGUGCGCAACGCGUAUAGAAUCUGCCUUGUACUGGGGAAUAGCCCAGAGAAAUUUGGAUUAAUGCCCCAUGGUAUGUAACUGUGGCAUCACUAUUACAUUAAAGGUUACGGUACAAGAUGACUAUGCGUCCCAUUAGUUAGUUGGUAAGGUAACGGCUUACCAAGGCAGCGAUGGGUAGGGGCCCUGAGAGGGGGAUCCCCCACACUGGUACUGAGACACGGACCAGACUCCUACGGGAGGCAGCAGUGAGGAAUAUUGGACAAUGGGCGGGAGCCUGAUCCAGCCAUGCCGCGUGCAGGAAGACGGUCCUAUGGAUUGUAAACUGCUUUUGUACGGGAAGAAUAAGGGCUACGUGUAGUCUGUUGACGGUACCGUAAGAAUAAGGAUCGGCUAACUCCGUGCCAGCAGCCGCGGUAAUACGGAGGAUCCGAGCGUUAUCCGGAAUCAUUGGGUUUAAAGGGUCCGUAGGCGGGCCAUUAAGUCAG
rnacentral:rRNA from 1 species